UACGUAGGGGGCAAGCGUUGUCCGGAUUUAUUGGGCGUAAAGAGCGUGUAGGCGGCCAUGCAGGUCCGCUGUGAAAACUCGAGGCUCAACCUCGAGACGUCGGUGGAAACCGCAUGGCUAGAGUCCGGAAGAGGAGAGUGGAAUUCCCGGUGUAGCGGUGAAAUGCGCAGAUAUCGGGAAGAACACCCGUGGCGAAGGCGGCUCUCUGGGACGGUACUGACGCUGAGACGCGGAAAGCGUGGGGAGCGAACAGG
rnacentral:rRNA from 1 species